UACGUAGGGGGCAAGCGUUGUCCGGAAUUAUUGGGCGUAAAGAGCGCGUAGGCGGUCCGGUAAGUCGGUUGUGAAAGUCGGGGGCUCAACCCUCGGAUGCCGAUCGAUACUGUCGGGCUAGAGUCCGGAAGAGGCGAGUGGAAUUCCUGGUGUAGCGGUGGAAUGCGCAGAUAUCAGGAAGAACACCGACGGCGAAGGCAGCUCGCUGGGACGGUACUGACGCUGAGGCGCGAAAGCGUGGGGAGCGAACAGG
rnacentral:rRNA from 1 species